GGGGGGAGCAAGCGUUGUUCGGAUUUACUGGGCGUAAAGGGCGCGUAGGCGGCCACCGCAAGUCGACUGUGAAAUCUCCGGGCUUAACUCGGAACGGUCAGCCGAUACUGCGGGGCUAGAGUGCAGAAGGGGCAACUGGAAUUCUCGGUGUAGCGGUGAAAUGCGUAGAUAUCGAGAGGAACACCUGCGGCGAAGGCGGGUUGCUGGGCUGACACUGACGCUGAGGCGCGAAAGCUAGGGGAGCGAACGGGAUUAGAUACCCCGGUAGUCCUAGCCUUAAACGAUGAAUGCUUGGUGUCUGGGGUUUUAUAGUCCCCGGGUGCCGUCGCUAACGCUUUAAGCAUUCCGCCUGGGGAGCACGGUCGCAAGACUG
rnacentral:rRNA from 1 species